rnacentral:rRNA from 1 species
UUAAUUGAAGAGUUUGAUCAUGGCUCAGAUUGAACGCUGGCGGCAGGCCUAACACAUGCAAGUCGAGCGGUAACAGAGAGUAGCUUGCUACUUUGCUGACGAGCGGCGGACGGGGGAGUAAUGCUUGGGAACAUGCCUUGAGGUGGGGGACAACAGUUGGAAACGACUGCUAAUACCGCAUAAUGUCUACGGACCAAAGGGGGCUUCGGCUCUCGCCUUUAGAUUGGCCCAAGUGGGAUUAGCUAGUUGGUGAGGUAAUGGCUCACCAAGGCAACGAUCCCUAGCUGGUUUGAGAGGAUGAUCAGCCACACUGGGACUGAGACACGGCCCAGACUCCUACGGGAGGCAGCAGUGGGGAAUAUUGCACAAUGGGCGCAAGCCUGAUGCAGCCAUGCCGCGUGUGUGAAGAAGGCCUUCGGGUUGUAAAGCACUUUCAGUCAGGAGGAAAGGUUAGUAGUUAAUACCUGCUAGCUGUGACGUUACUGACAGAAGAAGCACCGGCUAACUCCGUGCCAGCAGCCGCGGUAAUACGGAGGGUGCGAGCGUUAAUCGGAAUUACUGGGCG